AGCGAACGCUAGCGGCAGGCUUAACACAUGCAAGUCGAGCGCCAGGUUUCGGCCUGGAGCGGCGGACGGGUGAGUAAUGCGUAGGAAGCUACCCGACAGAGGGGGAUACCAGUUGGAAACGACUGUUAAUACCGCAUAAUGUCUACGGACCAAAGUGUGGGACCUUCGGGCCACAUGCUGUCGGAUGCGCCUACGUGGGAUUAGCAAGUUGGUGAGGUAAUGGCUCACCAAGGCGACGAUCCCUAGCUGGUUUGAGAGGAUGAUCAGCCACACUGGAACUGAGACACGGUCCAGACUCCUACGGGAGGCAGCAGUGGGGAAUAUUGGACAAUGGGCGAAAGCCUGAUCCAGCCAUGCCGCGUGUGUGAAGAAGGCCUUCGGGUUGUAAAGCACUUUCAGUAGGGAGGAAGAGUUGAGUGUUAAUAGUACUCAGCUUUGACGUUACCUACAGAAGAAGCACCGGCUAACUCUGUGCCAGCCGCCGCCGUAAAAC
rnacentral:rRNA from 1 species